rnacentral:lncRNA from 1 species
CUCCCACUUACAGUAUAGUGUGAUGACUGACCAGUGUCUCAGUGAUAAUAAUAAUAAACCUUCAUUUAUAUUAAUUAUAUAAUUCUUUGACCAAAAAAUAAUACUAAUUCCAUAAUUGAGACGGUGGAUCGUUCCGCCGGACCAACGCCGGGUGGGUAGCUGUCGCGUCGUGACGCAGACUAAUUAGUGAUUACAGAGGAUUAUACUUUUAUUUUUGAAUGUGAAAACAUAUACAAAUGAACAAGUGUCUCAAGGAGACAAUGGACCUGAAAACAGUGACACAACAGAACUUGUGUCAUCACGAUUAAGCCUAAAGACAGGUAUUUUUUAUGCCUCACUCUUUCUGCUUUCUCUUCUUAUAGAUGUACCAAGUGCUGUGUAAUUAUUGUUAGUAUUGUUGAAUCCUCCUGAAUACUUUCUGUUUAUAGGACUUCCACUUCCAAAUCCACCAUUCAUGCUUCGAUUUGAUAUUCGCCUAUUGCUGCUAGCUGGCCUUGCCAUGUAAAAAUUAUCUCCCUCAGCCACAGGUUGUGGAAUGCUCAUCUUCUUCAUUUCCUGCAUUUUAUUGUCAAUCAGCUUAUUGUAUUCUUGCAACAUUGCAACAAGAGGUACCUGGAUAACUCUUAACAGGUGAUGAUUACUCUAUCUAAUUUAGAGUUUCUCUUUGUUAAUUCAAAAAGGCAUCAAGUUGUGUUACCUCAUUGUAUAAGAAGACUUUCUGUCUUUCUACCUCCCAGCUCUUAGCCUUAACCAAUAUAGAUUCCACUAAUCCUGGUCCAAAUAUUAUAGAAGGGUCAGUGACUAGUUUGCUUCCUAACUUAAGAAAAUGCAGGGUCAUUUGUAGCUUUAUUUGUGUUGGACCCUAAGGAACUGCUUAUAUUACCUGAGAUUUUGCUGACUGUUAUGCGUGCCCGUUCUGCUCUCCUUAGGUUUCGAUGAGCAUUUCUACUUACUGAGUACCGAUUCUCGUCCUGUGACAACGUUAGUGUUUCUUGUAUGAGUUAGACUACAGAGAUAACAUUUAGUUACUUUCAUAGAAAAGAGAUUGGAACCUGGUCAUAUUCUUCUAGCCAGCGCUCUUCAUCACUUGCCAACAUCCACCUAUCAACUUUUUCAAUUAUUCCUUUUCUACUUGCUGCUUCUUCCUUUGCUCUUGCUAUCUUUUCAUCCAUGGCGGCUAGAAGGUCAACAUGGUCAACUUCCCCUUUGAAAUAGAGGACAAAACUCUGCAAUGAGUUUGACAUGUAUAACAAAGACACGCAGCAGUUGCAGAAAGUUACAAUUAGUCAAACCAGAGUCUACAAGUUGAUCUAGUCUCUUGACUUCAGCCUCAGCCUUGGGAAAAAUUUGCACAAAGAAAAGGCGGUUACCACCAGCCAUCAUUGGAGCACACACGUCUGAUGGUGCGGACGACAGUAAAUCAAUGACAUGAAAAAACUUUUGACGAUCUUCAUAAGAUGCAUCCAUCAGAUUCCACAGGUUCGAUAAAGCUCUACCAAGAUGGUGAAGCUGCACACAUGAUGUCUUAAAAGUUCAGAUAAGAUAACAACCUCUUUUCUCUUUGAUAAAUGUGCAUCUCUUUACUGAUUUGUGUUUCAACUUAUAUCUGUUAAGUUUUAUGUUCUUAGGAUAGAUAAUGAAUUGAAACAUUUCUAGUUAGCUUCACCUUUUCAAGGCGCUUGUGCUUUUCCUCUUCCAGAGACACAACAGUGCCAUUAAGCUUUUUUAAGAUAUCAUCACUGAUGUUUUUGGAUAUUCCAUAGAGGUCGUUCAAGCUUGGGUGAAUCUUUGUUAUGAUCAUUGAUGCUUCUGUUCCCAAUGUUGCUGAUAGAUCUCGAAUGGCGCAUAUGUAUAUAUCAACCUUCUGUAGUCUCUCAUUCUUGUGUGACAGAACAAUGAAAGACAACAUGAUGGAGAAGCCAAAACUGUCUGAUAAGUAAAACACAUGCAUGUUGACCAAAAAAAAAACAUUGUUCCCAAUUUGGUAUUACAAAAUGUACCUUCUCAUCAUGGAGUCUAUGCAGUUCAUUCUGAUAUUCCUCAAGUUUUUUAUUAGAAAGAUCGUUGUCAUCUAUGGUUAUCUUUCUAGUUGAGUCUUCAUAUGUCGAUCUACCUGCUAUUUCUGCUGAUAUUUUCUGAAUUUCCCCUUUGACAGAUCGGAACUGCUUCACUCUCUCGUCUUUCCUAAGCCUCAUCUCACGCAGUGCAGGCGCAAUAGAAUCCAGCUGCUCCCUCAGUGUUCCUCCCUUUUUCUCCGGCUGUAUAGAGAAUGACAACAAAAUUAUCUAUGAUAGGUACUGAUCUUUCACCGAGGCACAAAAGAAAAUGGGUGAGUUCGGCUUCAGAUUCUGCCAGCUCUUGAUGUAGACGAGACCUCGAAACAUUGGCAUGGUCAACUUUUCUCCGGUUUUGCUUUGAAGACAAGUGUGAAAGUGACACAUAUUCUGCUACAGAAGCUUCUUGUUUAAGUGAAGGCUCAUCCGCAUCUCCCUCCUCCUCUUUGAUUCUUCAGUUUAUGUCUCUUUCUCUUUCUCUCUCUCAACUUCAUCUGAAUUUGGUAAAGCUUAGAAGUCGCUUUUGUGCUGAUGCGUUUGCUUCUGCUGUAUGAAAAGCCAGAGAGAGAUGUUUUUUUUUGUAUAUACUACACAAAACUUGAUUCGUAAGCAAACCUGUAGUGCUAACUUUUUUGCUUAUUACUGUUUUAUCUGAACACAAAAUCGAAAUAGACAGAGAUUCUUCACCAUGUGGGUUCUUACAACAUAGCUUCUUUUUCUUUGUGGCUUAGAUUUUGGUUAUCAAGUUCUUUCUGAAUUUCCCCCCCCCC